AUUGAACGCUGGCGGCAGGCCUAACACAUGCAAGUCGAGCGAGCGGCGGACGGGUGAGUAAUGUCUGGGAAACUGCCUGAUGGGGGGGGAUAACUACUGGAGACGGUAGCUAAUACCGCAUACCAUCAGAUGUGCCCCGAUGGGGUUAGCUAGUGGGUGGGGGAACGGCUCACCUAGGCGACGAUCCCUAGCUGGUCUGAGAGGAUGACCAGCCACACUGGAACUGAGACACGGUCCAGACUCCUACGGGAGGCAGCAGUGGGGAAUAUUGCACAAUGGGCGCAAGCCUGAUACAGCCAUGCCGCGUGUGUGAAGAAGGCCUUCGGGUUGUAAAGCACUUUCAGCGGGGAGGCGUUACCCGCAGAAGAAGCACCGGCUAACUCCGUGCCAGCAGCCGCGGUAAUUC
rnacentral:rRNA from 1 species